rnacentral:ncRNA from 1 species
AUGCUAGGGGAGCCUUUGGGCUGAGAUUGGUAGUUACCUGACCCUCUCUACUUGAACCGGAUAAUGCCGGCGUAAGGAAGCAGAUGUAUA